CAUGCAAGUCGUGCGAGAAAGUAUCUUCGGAUAUGAGUAGAGCGGCGGACGGGUGAGUAACGCGUAGGAAUCUACCUAGUAGAAGGGGAUAGCCCGAGGAAACUCGGAUUAAUACCGUAUACCUCCUUCGGGAGAAAGAAGGCCUCUCUUUGAAGCUUUCGCUACUAGAUGAGCCUGCGUAAGAUUAGCUUGUUGGUGAGGUAAAGGCUCACCAAGGCUACGAUCUUUAGCGGGUCUGAGAGGACGAUCCGCCACAUUGGGACUGAGACACGGCCCAGACUCCUACGGGAGGCAGCAGUGGGGAAUAUUGGACAAUGGGCGAAAGCCUGAUCCAGCCAUACCGCGUGUGUGAAGAAGGCCCUAGGGUUGUAAAGCACUUUAAGUUGGGAAGAAAAGUUAUUGGUUAAUACCCAAUGACCGUGACAUUACCAUCAGAAUAAGGACCGGCUAAUUCCGUGCCAGCAGCCGCGGUAAUACGGAAGGUCCAAGCGUUAAUCGGAAUUACUGGGCGUAAAGCGCGCGUAGGUGGUUUAUUAAGUUGGGUGUGAAAUCCCCGGGCUCAACCUGGGAACUGCAUCCAAAACUGAUUCACUAGAGUACGAUAGAGGGAGGUAGAAUUCACAGUGUAGCGGUGGAAUGCGUAGAUAUUG
rnacentral:rRNA from 1 species